rnacentral:rRNA from 1 species
UGUGAAAUCCCCGGGCUCAACCUGGGAACUGCAUCUGAUACUGGCAAGCUUGAGUCUCGUAGAGGGGGGUAGAAUUCCAGGUGUAGCGGUGAAAUGCGUAGAGAUCUGGAGGAAUACCGGUGGCGAAGGCGGCCCCCUGGACGAAGACUGACGCUCAGGUGCGAAAGCGUGGGGAGCAAACAGGAUUAGAUACCCUGGUAGUCCACGCCGUAAACGAUGUCGACUUGGAGGUUGUGCCCUUGAGGCGUGGCUUCCGGAGCUAACGCGUUAAGUCGACCGCCUGGGGAGUACGGCCGCAAGGUUAAAACUCAAAUGAAUUGACGGGGGCCCGCACAAGCGGUGGAGCAUGUGGUUUAAUUCGAUGCAACGCGAAGAACCUUACCUGGUCUUGACAUCCACAGAACUUUCCAGAGAUGGAUUGGUGCCUUCGGGAAC